GAUGAACGCUGGCGGCGUGCCUAAUACAUGCAAGUCGAGCGAACAGAUGAGGAGCUUGCUCCUCUGACGUUAGCGGCGGACGGGUGAGUAACACGUGGAUAACCUACCUAUAAGACUGGGAUAACUUCGGGAAACCGGAGCUAAUACCGGAUAAUAUAUUGAACCGCAUGGUUCAAUAGUGAAAGACGGUUUUGCUGUCACUUAUAGAUGGAUCCGCGCCGUAUUAGCUAGUUGGUAAGGUAACGGCUUACCAAGGCAACGAUGCGUAGCCGACCUGAGAGGGUGAUCGGCCACACUGGAACUGAGACACGGUCCAGACUCCUACGGGAGGCAGCAGUAGGGAAUCUUCCGCAAUGGGCGAAAGCUUGACGGAGCAACGCCGCGUGAGUGAUGAAGGUCUUCGGAUCGUAAAACUCUGUUAUUAGGGAAGAACAAAUGUGUAAGUAACUAUGCACGUCUUGACGGUACCUAAUCAGAAAGCCACGGCUAACUACGUG
rnacentral:rRNA from 1 species